AAGAUCUCCCUGAGGGAAAGAGGCCUGAAGCCAGAUGUUCAUUUGAAUUCAUUUGUAAUGACUCAUCUCUUGUUGCUGAGGGAGACUGGUGCCUGUCAGAAACUCCUUAAUGGAAGAUUGGCCUGUACCAGGGACCCCAGAUGAGCAUUAGCUAGAAAAGACGGACUCACAGUAGAAAGGCAGUGUCUAGCUGUGGAUUGGGAUAGAGGACUCUCCUUUUUGAUUGAUAUAUUUGUUUUGGAACUUUGAUACUCCAAAAGGUGUAGAACUUUGGUGUGAUUUAACCAGAAGGCUUCAUCACCUCAGCAGUAGACCCCUUGCAGAUGGUUGAAGACUUUGAGGGAAACUGAAGCAGGAUUCACUUAUGAAAAAGCCGUCUAGAAAAGGCAAAGCUUGAAUAUGGAUGUACGGCUUGUGCUGCAAGGUGCAGGAUCAGUGGAGCUAUUCAUGAGCUUGAAGUUAAGGAAGUGCUUUGCUGGAUUGUCCCAGGGAGCUGAGACUCUUGCAGGAUCAAAGUGUGGGUGAUGAGACAAAGGCUUUUAGGGGUGCUCUGCUCACAGAUGUGCCUGCCUAUUUACCCUGAACUCUAUACCAGAAAACUAAACCUGAAGGAGCUUACAUAGGAGAAAAAUCAGACAAAUGAUCUGCAGAAAUACUGACGUUAAUGUUAUCAUUAGUAUAUUAAAAGACUACUUUCCCAUUAAAUGAUUUUUUGUUCUUUUCAUGACCACCUAAAUGACUAAAGGGUGAUAAUAACACUCAUUAUUUUAGGAGCACAUUUGCAUCCCUAAUGAAAGAGCUCCUAACGGGCACAAAAAACAGAAGCAAGUCUCUGAAUUAAUUAAAAUGGUUUGAUUGAUUAGAUAAAAAUGCAAACACAAACCACACACAAAGUUAAGAUUUUCUUUUAUCUUCAUUUGAAUUUUUUUUAAAGUGCCAUAAGCUUUUUGUUCUUUUCCCUGUAACAAUGGAACAUCAGAACACACAGUCGUAUCAGUAUA